rnacentral:tRNA from 1 species
UCCCUGGUGGUCUAGUGGUUAGGAUUCGCCGCGGCCUGGGUUCGAUUCCUGGUCAGGGAA